AUUGUUGAAUAAUAUUGCUAUAGUCUGUUAAUGACGCCAUAGUUCUCUGUUACCAGCUUUACCUUUUCUGCUCUCUUGCAAUUAGAUUAUAUGCUGAAAUACCCACAAUUGUCUUGCUGGGCUUGUAGGGAUUCUAUCCUGAGUACUGUAAUAUUUAGUGGGCCUCUUGUGUGUAAUAAUAUAUUGGGAGCAAGUUUUGUAAAGUGAACAUUUUCAUGCUAUUUG
rnacentral:misc_RNA from 1 species